rnacentral:lncRNA from 1 species
AUGCAAACGGGGGAUGCAUGCAACGCGCCGCCUUCCCUGCCCGAGAACCGUCUCUGGACGCGCACCUCCAGCCCGGCCGCCGUUCGUCCAGGGUCCCGGGCAGGUCUCGGACGCCCCUCCGCCGCCCGAUCAAAGGACCCGUGGCGCCGGCCAGCCAGGCGGGCCCGAGCGAGAAGGACCAGUGCGCACGCGCCCGCAGCAUGCGGAGCAUCUCCCGGCUGCAGGGACCGCCAAUCCGAGGCCCGGCCCCACCCCCAGCCCUGUGCCAAAGGGACUACAGAGCAGGGGUGGGGGGGGGCUCAGUCCCGGCGCGGUCUCGGCGUGCGCGCCCCCGGCUCGUCUGGUCGGGGAGAGGUCCGCCGGCGCGUGCAGGCAGGGUUUGCAAACGUCCGCUUUGUGGUCUACCGCCCCCACAAUCCUCAGGCCACCGCGGUUGCCCAGGGUUGCUGCAGAAUAGCUCCCGAGCGCUAUUUUUUCGGAGGAGAGUCACCCACCCAGAAUCCCCCGUGGCCAGGCAGGCGCCGGGCCCUCUGCUCGGGCAUUCUGGGAACUCCCACCCAAACAGCAGCUUUCCAAAGUUCUGGUUGCAGGAGAGGCAGGCAGGCCGGCUUGACUGCCCCUUCUUGUACCGCGGGGGCGCCCAGCAGAAAUAAGAAAGAAAGAAAGAAAGAAAGAAAGAAAGAAAGAAAGAAAGAAAGAAAGAAGGAAGGAAGGAAGGAAAGAAGGAAAGGCUUCAGUCCAACUGUGGAGCCCGACAAGGAGCAGAAGAGGCCAUCAAAGAGUCCGGCAGAGGCUUGGGGUUUGGACAGCAGCCGCGCGGUGCUGAGGGCGUCUUCCUGCCGUGGGAGCGCGCGCCUGCCCAGCUCUUUCGAUGCCAUCUCACCUCCUUGGCUGUGCGCGGGCACGCGCUCUACCACAAGGCGGCGCCUACGCUCCCCUUGGGUCCGGCCCUGCUCCGCCCAGCACCUCUUUGAGUCUCAUCCUGCUACAGGAGUCUCAGGAGGAGUGGAGGUGUGGAAAAAGCACCAGCUUUUGAGGAACACCGGUCUCUUCCUACCACUAGUGCCAAGAGGGGGGCUGGCACAAACUGAGUAA